AUUCAGCUGAUGAGACCGAAAUAGAACGAAACAUGCGUCUUGAAU
rnacentral:hammerhead_ribozyme from 1 species